AACAAAACAACUGGUUCCCAGCAAGAAAGCUUCAACUGGAAAUGCAGAACAUACGGAAGAGCUGCCUACACCUUUGUGGUUCUCUUAAGACUUGAAAAGGAAUGUUGAUUAUCAGUGACUGUGGUAAACCAAGAUAGUUUCUGAAGAGUGAAUGUGCUUAGUUGUCUUCAGCUUGGUUCCUUCCUGCACUUAUUCUCAGGUCAUGAGCUGAAAAAUAUCAAAGCUAUUAUGUCAAGUGAAUUUAUGACCACCUUAAAAAGUUCAGUUGAAAUUCAGAACACUGCAGCUAAUGAGUGAAUUACAGUGGAAUGGCUGCUGAAAAUUUUCCAGGAGAAGUGUAACCAAGAGGAAAUACUGUUUGAAAAGAAAUAUUUUGCCCUUUCAUGUGGAUUCUCACACUCUUUGUAUGUGUCUUGCCUGUGGAAGCAGCAAAGUGGACUGCAGCAGCACUUUCUUCCCCUCUGGCUUCUUGUUUCUGCCCUGCAGCAGCUCCUAAUUAUGACCAAGCAGGACUUUUAUCACCCAGGAGUCCAUCCUCCCUAAGGGAAUCUACAGAAGGAAUAAACUUCAUAGAAGGUUCCAGAGAUCAGAGAGAUCUAGGACUACUGGAUUAAUUUGUAAAAUGAGAAAUGUGAUUCUGUAUGUGAUUCACAGGUAGAAUUUGUUAAGUUGUAUGUGGCUUUCUCCAGUUUGUAGUCAAUGGGAAAACAUCAGUUUGCUAUUGACUAACACUGCAACAGAAAUUUUUGAUAGCAAACAACAGGUGUCAAGUGCUGGCAUUUUGCAGCAGGCAUCACUUUCCCCUGGUGCAAAGGACACUAAAAAAGACAGUACACAGAGAAUCCAGCCUGUGGAUACUGAAGAUCAGCAAGUAUAACCAUAAGACUUCACUGGAGGUGUUUGGCUCUGGCCCAUGUUAAAGGCUGACACAGACACAUGAUUUAGGCGAUUCAAACCUCAGGUAGAAAACUUUUAUAUGGGGAAGUGUAUGUAUACAUCACAGGAUCAGUCCAAACAUCCAUCUAUCCUCUCCUUGGCAGUGGUACAUAUACCACACUUUAAACAAAGAGUGCUUCCUGGGCUCCCUGCAUCACAUGUGUGUGCUUGGCAGCACCAUCUUGGGUGUGUUUUACCUGGGCUGUUCCAGGCCUCUUCCCAUCUCCCCAGCAGCUUUUCUCACUGAAUUAUCACCAUAUUUGCAAUUACCACAGUUAUCU